rnacentral:misc_RNA from 1 species
UAGCAAGACAGUCCAUGGUGU